rnacentral:rRNA from 1 species
GAUGAACGCUGGCGGCGUGCCUAAUACAUGCAAGUCGAGCGAACGGACGAGAAGCUUGCUUUUCUGAUGUUAGCGGCGGACGGGUGAGUAACACGUGGAUAACCUACCUAUAAGACUGGGAUAACUUCGGGAAACCGGAGCUAAUACCGGAUAAUAUUUUGAACCGCAUGGUUCAAAAGUGAAAGACGGUCUUGCUGUCACUUAUAGAUGGAUCCGCGCUGCAUUAGCUAGUUGGUAAGGUAACGGCUUACCAAGGCAACGAUGCAUAGCCGACCUGAGAGGGUGAUCGGCCACACUGGAACUGAGACACGGUCCAGACUCCUACGGGAGGCAGCAGUAGGGAAUCUUCCGCAAUGGGCGAAAGCCUGACGGAGCAACGCCGCGUGGGUGAUGAAGGUCUUCGGAUCGUAAAACUCUGUUAUUAGGGAAGAACAUAUGUGUAAGUAACUGUGCACAUCUUGACGGUACCUAAUCAGAAAGCCACGGCUAACUACGUGCCAGCAGCCGCGGUAAUACGUAGGUGGCAAGCGUUAUCCGGAAUUAUUGGGCGUAAAGCGCGCGUAGGCGGUUUUUUAAGUCUGAUGUGAAAGCCCACGGCUCAACCGUGGAGGGUCAUUGGAAACUGGAAAACUUGAGUGCAGAAGAGGAAAGUGGAAUUCCAUGUGUAGCGGUGAAAUGCGCAGAGAUAUGGAGGAACACCAGUGGCGAAGGCGACUUUCUGGUCUGUAACUGACGCUGAUGUGCGAAAGCGUGGGGAUCAAACAGGAUUAGAUACCCUGGUAGUCCACGCCGUAAACGAUGAGUGCUAAGUGUUAGGGGGUUUCCGCCCCUUAGUGCUGCAGCUAACGCAUUAAGCACUCCGCCUGGGGAGUACGACCGCAAGGUUGAAACUCAAAGGAAUUGACGGGGACCCGCACAAGCGGUGGAGCAUGUGGUUUAAUUCGAAGCAACGCGAAGAACCUUACCAAAUCUUGACAUCCUUUGACAACUCUAGAGAUAGAGCCUUCCCCUUCGGGGGACAAAGUGACAGGUGGUGCAUGGUUGUCGUCAGCUCGUGUCGUGAGAUGUUGGGUUAAGUCCCGCAACGAGCGCAACCCUUAAGCUUAGUUGCCAUCAUUAAGUUGGGCACUCUAAGUUGACUGCCGGUGACAAACCGGAGGAAGGUGGGGAUGACGUCAAAUCAUCAUGCCCCUUAUGAUUUGGGCUACACACGUGCUACAAUGGACAAUACAAAGGGCAGCGAAACCGCGAGGUCAAGCAAAUCCCAUAAAGUUGUUCUCAGUUCGGAUUGUAGUCUGCAACUCGACUACAUGAAGCUGGAAUCGCUAGUAAUCGUAGAUCAGCAUGCUACGGUGAAUACGUUCCCGGGUCU